UACGUAGGGUGCAAGCGUUGUCCGGAAUUAUUGGGCGUAAAGCGCGCGCAGGUGGUUCUUUAAGUCUGAUGUGAAAGCCCACGGCUCAACCGUGGAGGGUCAUUGGAAACUGGGGAACUUGAGUGCAGAAGAGGAAAGUGGAAUUCCAAGUGUAGCGGUGAAAUGCGUAGAGAUUUGGAGGAACACCAGUGGCGAAGGCGACUUUCUGGUCUGUAACUGACACUGAGGCGCGAAAGCGUGGGGAGCAAACAGG
rnacentral:rRNA from 1 species